CCUACGGGGGGCAGCAGUGGGGAAUAUUGGACAAUGGGCGAAAGCCUGAUCCAGCCAUGCCGCGUGUGUGAAGAAGGCCAUCGGGUUGUAAAGCACUUUCAGUGGGGAAGAAAGCCUUGGGGCUAAUACCCUCGAGGAAGGACAUCACCCACAGAAGAAGCACCGGCUAACUCCGUGCCAGCAGCCGCGGUAAUACGGAGGGUGCGAGCGUUAAUCGGAAUUACUGGGCGUAAAGCGCGCGUAGGCGGUCUGAUAAGCCGGUUGUGAAAGCCCCGGGCUCAACCUGGGAACGGCAUCCGGAACUGUCAGGCUAGAGUGCAGGAGAGGAAGGUAGAAUUCCCGGUGUAGCGGUGAAAUGCGUAGAGAUCGGGAGGAAUACCAGUGGCGAAGGCGGCCUUCUGGACUGACACUGACGCUGAGGUGCGAAAGCGUGGGUAGCAAACAGGAUUAGAUACCCCAGUAGUC
rnacentral:rRNA from 1 species